ACCACCAACUAAUGUGGAAAAAGAAAUAGCCAACGACUUUCACUUUCCAUAAUCAAAAUGAAAGAAAGUCAACCUAUUUCUGAAAUUGCGGUCAGUCUCGCUACCUCUUUAGUUACCGCCCCUACUUGCUCAUUCGCAAUUACUAGCACAAGAAAGUCGCCCCGAUAGAAAGAUUCAAUCUUCUUCUCUGUCUGGGAGUCGCUCUUGAAUGCCGCUUGCCCCAUUUCCUCCUCACAAUCACACACAAUUCAUUACAGAGAUGAAAACCGCCCUCUGGAACAGGGUAGGUAGUAAAUGUAAUGCUUAAAUGCUAAAUCCUCUUUGACCUCAAAGAAUUUGUGGAGGAAAGGCAUGCCAAGCAACACCAUUUUGGUGGAGACUUAUCCUUCUUUGGGUUUUCUGUUUUGGAAUUGUUUUUUCUUAUAACCAUCUGAAUUCCUUCUCUACAGUCUGCUUCAUUUAUUUGUUCACGUCGAAGGAGUAAUUGCCAUGGCAGAACAAGCAUUCAAAAGGUAAGAUUUGAGAUCAAUAGAUAAGAGCUGUUCUUAUGGAUUUGGAGCCUGGUACUAUGAUCAGUGUUAGAUCUAGGACUACUGGUCAAAUUUUCAGGCCUCAUAACUUAAUUUUCGGUCAGUUGGGUGCUGGUAACAACUGGGCAAAGUGUCAUUACACCGAGGGUGCUGAGUUGAUCGAUUCUGUUCUUUCUGUUGUUCUUAAAGAAGCUGAGAAUUGUGAUUGCAUACAAGUGAAGUUUCUUUUGACUUCAAGGGGAAAACAUAAUGAAAAUUCCAAGGGAGAAGUUCUAUGACAUUACUGAUAUGCAGCUUGAGUACAACAACAACAAUAACAUACCUAGUAUAAUCCCACAAGUGGGGUGUGGGGAGGGUAUAUACGCAGGCCUUACCUCUACCUUUGUGGCUUUGUGGGGUAGAGAGGCUUGAGUGCAUCAAAAUAUAUUGACCUGGUAAGUCCAAAUCUGCAAACGUUACCAUAAAAGGAUAGGACGAGGUUAAACAUUUUAUAUUAAUCGGUUAAAGGGAUCGAUUCUUAUAGAAUGUGGUACUUUCUUUAACAUAUUGAAUAGAGGUUAAUCCAAGCUGAUAUUACUUAAACUUAUUACAAAUCCUAAUUUCUCAGUCCACGAGUUGAAAUAUUUCUAUAUGAAAUAGAAGUUCUAACCAGAAGUAAUCCAAUAUUGAAAAAGGAAAACUAAGGUAGCAAAAAAAAUCAUAUUUUUUAAAUUAUGAAUUUUUCGAUUGCAAGAAGCUUCCAAAUAAAAUGGUAGUUCAAAAUUGAAAUCUUUGAAUAGAUUGAUAACAUCCAAAUUCACUCCUCAAAGAGAAAGUGUACACGGUCGUAUGCAAUAUAAUUUACCCAACUAUGAGUCGGGGUCGAUCUCACAGGGAACAAUAUGCUAGGCGAUUUAAACAAGUUAGGAAUUAUCACUUUUUACGCUAAGCCAAACACUUGAUAAUAAUUUGGUUUUUUGAUAAAAUUAUAACUAAUGCAAAAAUAUAAACUAAUCUAGAACGCGAAUAAAAUAAUCAAUGGCCACAAGCAUGGAUUCAAGAGAAAUUACUCUCAAGUAAUGAUCCAAUGUAUUUUACAAUUUUACAACUAUGAGCGGGUUUAUGUUAAUAGAUAAUGAUUUCUAAAAUCUCAUUGAAAGUCUCUCAACCAAAUCAAUGAAUUUCACUCUAAGCUUUCUCAAGCCUUAGAGUGUGAUGUUAAACACAAUCAAUUCAACCUCAAGUUAACUAUUAUAUCUCUAGCUUAAGUUAUUAGAUGAGUUUAAUGACCCAAUUCCUUGCUAUCUAACUCUUUUCCUAACUUUCACUUUCUUUCUCAAGCAAAGUAAAAGUAUUUAGGCACAAAUAAUGUUUGCAACCAUUAAGAGACAUUUAAGCAUGAAGAGUUGAUAGAAAAACAUUAACCCACUUCAUUAGAAAUAAAAAUUGUUCAAUACAUAAGCAAAAUAAGAAAUUGAAUUCAACACUUGAUAAUGGAUAUUCUCGUAAACAAGAUGCAAGUGAGAGAAUAAAAUACAACACACUUAAAUAUUCAAUACACAACAAGGAAUUGAAGAAAGGGUUAAGAGUUUUAUCAUUCAAGAGCUCCAAUCUUCUCCUCCAAUUGUGUGGUUGAUGAUGAACCCUAGCUUCAAGCUUGAUGAAAAUGGCCAAAGAUGACAAAUAAUGUCUUCAAGCUUGCUUUUGUAGUUCCAAAAUUUUCCCACUCAAAAUUAGACCAAAACAAUCCCUGAUUUUCGUUUUUGCAAAACUGUCCAAUUUUAACAGUUUUGCAUAACUGUCCAAUUUGACUUUUUUUUUUUUUUUAAGCAACCACUAAGUAUAACUUAGUGGAGGGAUAUUUAUUAAAUACUAAAUAAUAAGAGUUCAACAGCAACAGAAAAAUAAAACCCAAAACAAAAGCUAUCCUGUCCAAAUAAAAAACAAUAAAUGAAACUAGUCAACAUACACCCCAAACCACACACCACUUCGGAAACUUCUAUAUUGGUCAACUCCACCGGAGUCAUCGCAGAUCCACCAUAAAGCAACGAAAAAUGGUUUUCCAACAUGAUUUCCCUUUAUUUUCGCACCACAAAGCUCUCACCGGUGCAACAAAAACCAUAUCCAAGGAGUUCAACUCAGAGAAACCAAGACACUUAUCUCCAGGUGCAGAGAACCAGUUUUGAAGAACUCACCAGAGACGGUGAAAGGCAUGUUUGAAUCAGAAACAAAAGGAAAAGAAGUGCAAAGAAUGCAAUAGUGCAGUUCACGAUUGGAUGUUUAAUUGGAAGUGGAAGAUGGAGAUUCUUAGUGGUGAUUGUUUUCAAGAAAGUAUUGAUGAACUCCUGUAAACGUGAUGGAUAUGAGUCUAAAUACUGCUUUUGGAGGAUGAAGAGACCAACGAUCCCUAUUUUCCUCAUGUAUGACAUUUAUCUGUAUCAAACGAAAAGCUACAACUAUCAUUUACUAAUUAAAA